UCCGAUGUAGUGUAAUGGCUAUCACAUCACGCUCUCA
rnacentral:tRNA from 1 species